AGAAGGUGGAAACAGGCCUAAGCACAGCCAGGCAAGAGGCAUUGCCUAUAGCCAGUCUUUCCUCCAUAAGGCAGAAGAGAUGGUGGUCACUGCAUUGGCAUGCUAUGAGAAAGCAAAGGAGUGCAAGAACCUUAGAGUGAAAUGAAGCGGAGGCACUGGUGACAUCUUACUGAGGGGACACAUCAAGGCAGCACAGAAACACUUCCCAAAGAGAACAGGAAAUGUGUCAGUUGCUAGAGAUGAAGCAGUGAACAAGACAGACCAAGCCAUUUUCCUCAGGGGACUACAUUUCAUUGGGGGAGAUAGACAAUGAACAAAUAAAUAAAUAAAUAAUUA